AACUUUGAGUGGUGGAUCACUCGGCUGGAGUAUCGAUGUAAAGUGCAACCAACCAUGUGAAUUCAAAUCAACUGUAUACUGCUUUGAGCACCCAAAUCUUGAGUGCGCAUUGAGACUACGAGAUAUCCUGUGGCCACGUCUGUCCGAUUAUAA
rnacentral:rRNA from 1 species